GGGGACGUACCGGAAUUGACAGGAAGGUUAAUUGCUUAGUAAGCACGCCGGAGCAUGAUAGGUUACUCCGUUAAAAAUAACUAUUGACCCUUUUAGUUGGCAACACCAGCUACGCUAUGGCAGCCUAAUUCUAGGAAUUAGUCGCCUUUGCGCCGUACAGUUGUACGUCUGAUACACAUUGUGCCGCGUAUAAUCCCCCUUCAGACUGGCCAAAAGCCCCGUUGCGCGUUUUUGGUAAGAUUUAGCAGCUAAGGCAGUGAUUGAGUGGGUGACCAGACUUGCCCAUUUGCCCUACAAUUCGACUGGUCAAUAAGCGUGUAGAAGGCUCUGUGAUGCUUUUGCUGGACGCGAGUUCGACUCUCGCCGUCUCCACUA
rnacentral:tmRNA from 1 species